AGCAUCGCCGCGGUAAUACAGAGGGUGCGAGCGUUAAUCGGAUUUACUGGGCGUAAAGCGUGCGUAGGCGGCUUCUUAAGUCGGAUGUGAAAUCCCUGAGCUUAACUUAGGAAUUGCAUUCGAUACUGGGAAGCUAGAGUAUGGGAGAGGAUGGUAGAAUUCCAGGUGUAGCGGUGAAAUGCGUAGAGAUCUGGAGGAAUACCGAUGGCGAAGGCAGCCAUCUGGCCUAAUACUGACGCUGAGGUACGAAAGCAUGGGGAGCAAACAGGAUUAGAUACCCCUGUAGUCCCUGUCUCUUAUACA
rnacentral:rRNA from 1 species